ACUGGUACUUUUAGUUUAUUAGUUUAACUGCAGUUGGACAACAGCAGAAGUACAGUACAAGCAUAAAAGUUUGACUAUAACAGUGAUUAGAGCAACAUGUUUUGAUUACUUUUUCUGAAAAAAAAAACAAAAAAACAAGCAUUUCAGUAAGAGACCUUAUGCUUAAAACCUAUUACAUCACAAUGAUUGAAAUAUGUACAUGUGCAUGUAUAGAAAAUGUCCACACACAUGAACAUAUGGAGUAACAUGAGCUGUGUAAAAGGUCUAUUAUUGUGUUGCUUUCUAAUAAGCAUCAGAGUAAAACAAGUCUAAAACUUUUCAGUUUUGUUAGUUCUGUGCUUGUGCAAGAAAGAAAAGCUUCAAAAGCAUCUUGGUACAUUGCUCAAAAUGUCACAACUGCUGUUAGUCAGGUGCUUGUAGUCAAAAUGGCAUCGCUAUGUACAUUAUCUUCAGGUAUAUAACUAUAGACAUGCGAAUACAAGCUACUGUACAGUGGAGCACCAGCACAUAAAUAUCUGCAAUUUAAAAUCAUUUUUUUGCUCCUAUACACCACAUACACAAGAAUGUCUGAAAUACAGUAUAUAACAAAAAUAAGAAUGUUAAAACUACAUCUUUCAUUUGGUUUAUUAAUAAACUUGCAAAGACAGGAAGCACAGCACAGGGUGGCAUGAAAAGUCAUGUACAUGUUGGGAUUCGAAUGAACACUUGUUUUAUUUCUUCAUGCCUCAGUGUUUGUCUGUGAGUGGGAGUCUGGCACUGGUAACUACAUAUUCCAUGUUUCCAUUUCAAUUUAGAACUUCAACUAGUUAAAAUGGUUUUCUACAGAAGCCUGUUUCCACCACUGUUUGAAACGAUAAAAAGGUAAUUGUGACUUUUUUCAGAAUUGCGAGAUAAAAGCUCAGACAUUUUUUUUCCAUCUUAGUUUAUAUCUUGUUUUUCUGAUUUUAUCUAACAAUUCUGCAAUUCAGUUUUUUCCCCACCAAAGAAUUCAAAAAUGAAAAAGGUAAUUUUAACUUUUAUUAAAAAAUUAAAAUAAUUAAUUUAAUUU
ensembl:lncRNA